GAUCAUGGCGUCAGGAUUAACGCUGGCGGCGUGCAUAACACAUUCAAGUCGAACGGAGAGAGAGCUUCGGCUCUUAAUCAGUGGCGGACGGGUGAGUAACGCGUGAGCAACCUGCCUUUCAAAGCGGGAUAACGGCUGGAAACGGACGCUAAUACCGCAUAAUGUAUAUUGAUCGCAUGGUUGAUAUACCAAAGAUUUAUCGAUGAAAGAUGGGCUCGCGUCUGAUUAGAUAGUUGGUGAGGUAACGGCUCACCAAGUCGACGAUCGUUAGCCGGACUGAGAGGUUGAACGGCCACAUUGGGACUGAGACACGGCCCAGACUCCUACGGGAGGCAGCAGUGAGGAAUAUUGGGCAAUGGGCGCAAGCCUGACCCAGCAAUGCCGCGUGAAGGAAGACGGUUUUCGGAUUGUAAACUUCUUUUAAGAGGGACGAUAAUGACGGUACCUCUUGAAUAAGCCACGGCUAACUACGUG
rnacentral:rRNA from 1 species